rnacentral:rRNA from 1 species
CAGCAGCCGCGGUAAAACGAGGGGUGCAAGCGUUAUUCGGAUUGAGUGGGUGUAAAGGGUGUGCAGACGGCUUAUUAAGUCACUUGUUAAAUUCUUCGGCCUAACUGAAGGUCUGCAAGUGAUACUGAUGAGCUAGAGGGUGGAAGAGAGAAGUGGAAUUCUCGGAGUAGCGGUAAAAUGCGUAGAUCUCGAGAGGAACACCAAUGGCGAAGGCAGCUUCUUGGUCCAUUCCUGACGUUCAUACACGAAAGCGUGGGGAGCGAACAGGAUUAGAUACCCGAGUAGUCCCUGUCUCUUAUAU